UGUGUUCACAUGAGCACGUUCUCUCGUGUCCUGUGUCACAGGUACAGCUAAAACAUGGAAACUUACACCAGACAUCAAAGUGCAUUUGUGCUAAUUUUGUCUUUUAGAAUUUCAGCUCAUUUUUCCAGAGGACACAAUUACCCUGCAAAGUGUACUGCACUUAAGCUGAGAAGUACCUCCGAAGUGAAAUAACUUAGCUGAACCCAACUAACAUGCUAUUUUGUAUGCAAGAGUCCUGGCCCUUUCCCAGGAUUGCCUUGCAGGCUGUACCCCGCGGACCACCCUUCACCACCAGUCAUGGGCUAUAGGCCACAUCCCCCUCCUCCAUCUACUCUAUUUGUUAAGAGGACCUGAACUGGCUGAGUGGCUGGACAACUCUUUUGACAGUGAAGAGGACUGUGCACGGUGACAGACAAUCGUGUUUGUAUAUACAUUUUAAGAAGGUGUCAGAUCUACCUGAAUGCUCUCCCUGCCCAUCCUGUCCCCUCCACUUUGUCCUUCCUACUGUCCCCUAAUCUACCUUUCAUCGUUUUGUCUCUG